UGUUGGAAUAUUGGGACAAUGGGUGAGAGCCUGAUCCAGCCAUCCCGCGUGAAGGAUGACGGCCCUAUGGGUUGUAAACUUCUUUUGUAUAGGGAUAAACCUAGAUACGUGUAUCUAGCUGAAGGUACUAUACGAAUAAGCACCGGCUAACUCCGUGCCAGCAGCCGCGGUAAAUGAA
rnacentral:rRNA from 1 species